CAAGCUGUCAUGAUUGUAUACAUGGGUGAAAAAUGUGGUAAUGCUGCAUAGCUACACGUGCAUCAUCAUCUGAUCCCUCAGGAGGUCUGGAAACGCUGCAAUUCAAAGUUGGAAGACAUUCCACACCUGAACAGAGGCAAACACUCAUGCUCCUGAUGCACCGAUAGUUCAGUCCAAGGUGACAUAUCCCACAGGAUAUUCUGUGCAGAAUUACACAGUAGUGGUCAAAAGCACCAGUGUGCUGUACCAUGCUCCUAAAUCACCCUGCUCUGGGCAAAAUAAAUGGAUCCUCUAUGUGGCUA